rnacentral:rRNA from 1 species
GUGGGGAAUAUUGGACAAUGGGGGGAACCCUGAUCCAGCCAUGCCGCGUGUGUGAAGAAGGCCUUUUGGUUGUAAAGCACUUUAAGCGAGGAGGAGGCUACCGAGAUUAAUACUCUUGGAUAGUGGACGUUACUCGCAGAAUAAGCACCGGCUAACUCUGUGCCAGCAGCCGCGGUAAUACAGAGGGUGCACGCGUUAAUCGGAUUUACUGGGCGUAAAGCGCGCGUAGGUGGCCAAUUAAGUCAAAUGUGAAAUCCCCGAGCUUAACUUGGGAAUUGCAUUCGAUACUGGUUGGCUAGAGUAUGGGAGAGGAUGGUAGAAUUCCAGGUGUAGCGGUGAAAUGCGUAGAGAUCUGGAGGAAUACCGAUGGCGAAGGCAGCCAUCUGGCCUAAUACUGACACUGAGGUGCGAAAGCAUGGGGAGCAAACAGGAUUAGAUACCCCUGUAGUCC